GGCGGAUGGGGUUCUGGUGUCCCUCCUGGUCUUCAAAACCAUGUGCGACGCCCGUGCGGCGUUGGGUGGGUUCGAUUCCCACACGCUCCC
rnacentral:tRNA from 1 species